rnacentral:tRNA from 1 species
AAGAAAUUAGUUUAAAUAAAACAUUAGACUGUCAGACUAAAAAUAUUACUAUUAAUAUUUCUUA